CCCUUAGAUGUUCUGGGCCGCACGCGCGCUACAAUGAUGAAUUCAACGAGUUUAUAACCUUGGUUGAAAAGCCUGGGUAAUCUUUUGAACUUUCGUCGUGAUGGGGCUAGACCCUUGCAAUUAUUGGUCUCCAACGAGGAAUUCCUAGUAAACGCAAGUCAUCAGCUUGCUUUGAUUACGUCCCUGCCCUUUGUACACACCGCCCGUCGCACCUACCGAUUGAAUGGUCCGGUGAAAUCUUCGGAUUGAGACUUUGAUUUCUUCACGGAAAACGCUGUUUUAAAAAGUUGAUUAAACCUUACCAUUUAGAGGAAGGUGAAGUCGUAACA
rnacentral:rRNA from 1 species